GAUGAACGCUGGCGGCGUGCCUAAUACAUGCAAGUCGAGCGAACGGACGAGAAGCUUGCUUCUCUGAUGUUAGCGGCGGACGGGUGAGUAACACGUGUAUAACCCACUUAUAAGACUGGUAUAACUUCGGGAAACCGUAGCUAAUACCGGAUAAUAUUUUGAACCGCAUGGUUCAAUAGUGAAAGACGGUCUUGCUGUCACUUAUCGAUGGAUCCGCGCUGCAUUAGCUAGUUGGUAAGGUAACGGCUUACCAAGGCAACGAUGCAUAGCCGACCGGAUAGAGGGAUAGGCGGCCCGGGAGCGGGACCGCGGACAAGGGUCCUAAGGGACGGAGCAGAAGGGUAUAGGCCGCAAUGGGCGAAAGCCUGACGGAGUAACGCCGAGUGAGUGAUGGAGGUCUUCGGAUCGUGAAAAUCGGUUACUAGGGGAAAACAUAUGUGUAAGUAACUGUGCAGAGCUUGACGGUAACUGAUCAGAAAGCCACGGCUAACUACGUG
rnacentral:rRNA from 1 species